rnacentral:rRNA from 1 species
CAGCAGCCGCGGUAAUACGUAGGGUGCAAGCGUUAAUCGGAAUUACUGGGCGUAAAGCGUGCGCAGGCGGUUUGUUAAGUUGGAUGUGAAAGCCCCGGGCUCAACCUGGGAACUGCAUCCAAAACUGGCAAGCUAGAGUACGGUAGAGGGUGGUGGAAUUUCCUGUGUAGCGGUGAAAUGCGUAGAUAUAGGAAGGAACACCAGUGGCGAAGGCGACCACCUGGACUGAUACUGACACUGAGGUGCGAAAGCGUGGGGAGCAAACAGGAUUAGAUACCCCCGUAGUCCCUGUCUCUUAUAC